GUAGUGCAGCGCAAGCCAAUGCGGGAGCUUCAGCUGGAGCAGGUGGUAUUGGUCACGGAUAUUUAGGAAAUUCAGGAUCUUAUAGUUCAGCUAAUGCCGGGGCAAGUGCGUUUUCCAGAGGAGCUCGUGCGCCAGUUGCUCAAUUUGGAAUUGCCGGUGCUAAAUCGCAUGCGCAUUCGGUAGGAAUCAGCACCCCCUUUGGAAGCAUUUCAGGUAGUUCUGCCCAUUCUCACGCAGGCGCAGCUGGAUUUGGAGGAUUCGGUGCGGGUGCCCAUGCCAAUGCAGGCGCAAGCGCAGGAGUUUUUUAGACUUCUUCCAAGACUGUUUUGGAUUUAAUUUAAAUUGUUUUAUUGUGAAAAUAAAUAAUUUAUGGAA